AAGGGGUGGGCUGACUAUUGUCGGCUUAAGGUACGUGCUAAUCCCUUGGGUAACCAAGCUCUGACGAUAAGACCCGACAGGUCAAGGCGUUAGGGGGCAGCCAGACUGAGGUCUGUCUGCUGGUAUACAGUUCAUGAAUGAACUGUUUAAUGCUGUGAUGCCCUUAGAUGUUCUGGGCCGCACGCGCGCUACACUGACAGAGCCAACGAGUUCUUCACCUUGACCGAAAGGUCUGGGUAAUCUUGUGAAAC
rnacentral:rRNA from 1 species